UACGUAGGGCGCAAGCGUUGUCCGGAAUUAUUGGGCGUAAAGAGCUCGUAGGCGGCCUGUUGCGUCCGCUGUGAAAUCCCGGGGCUCAACCCCGGGCCUGCAGUGGAUACGGGCUGGCUAGAGGCAGGCAGGGGAGAACGGAAUUCCUGGUGUAGCGGUGAAAUGCGUAGAUAUCGGGAGGAACACCAGUGGCGAAGGCGGCUUCCUGGCCUGCAACUGACGCUGAGACGCGAAAGCGUGGGGAGCGAACAGG
rnacentral:rRNA from 1 species